UGAUCAGCUAUAGCAGUAGUAGAGAUAACAAUAUUUCCUUCCUCAGCCAAUGGAAUUGGAUACAUUGGUAGAUUAGGAUUUACUGUUACAUUGCCAUUAACAUUAUCCAAAUAAGUGGUUGCUUCAUUGUUUCCUUUAGGGAUCCAUUUUUGCCUUGGCUUUUUAGUCCUCACCUUGUUCCUGUCCAGGUUUACCUUUGCUUCCUGCU
rnacentral:lncRNA from 1 species